GAAUGGGAAGAACAGACAGCUUGCCUAAGUGAGAUGGAAAAGCUUGGGGCCACGCUGCAGGGCCUGGAGCGGGGCGUAGGAAUGGGAAGAUUCUCUCUGUAGCCCUGGCUAUCCUGAAACUCACUCUAUAGACCAGGCUGGGCUCAAACACCCAGAGAUCUGCCUGCCCCUGCCUGCCCCUGCCUGCCCCUGCCUGCCCCUGCCUCCCAAGUGCUGUGAUUAAAUGUGUACACCACACCAGAUGGCCCCAUCACUCUUAAAUCCAGACAUAGAACUCUAAGCUCUGCCUGAACCAUGCCUGCCUGGAUGCAUCCAUGUUCCUGCCUUGAUGAUAAUGGCCUGAACCUCCGGACCUAGACCUCAGCCUCCUCAUCUGGACCCACAGGGUGUGAUGAUCUCCGGUGUUUUCUGUAAGGUCUACCCGGUGCUGUGCAUCCAAAGAUCCACCCUCCUUCAGGGGCUGCUCUUUCCGUCUGCAACCUUACAGCAUCCCAUCAGCGACCCUCAAGCACACAAGCAGUAUCCAGCCACAAGCUCCAGGGCACAACCGGCUUUCAGAGUGCCCAGCCAUGGAGCAGCCCCUUUCCAGGCUCUAUCUCAUCCCUUCGCUCUGUCCGGCUGUAAGCCAGUCAUUACCGUCACCACGCCAACCUCAAAUUCCUAUGAUGUCACAUCACCAGACAGGUCUCAGCUGUCACUUCCAGGUCCUUAGAAGAGGCCACAGAUACCCAGGUCACAAGUACUUCAAGGAUUCUUGGCCGAAGAUAUAACAUUUUAUCCCUUGAGUGGGCACAAGAAUGAGAGAACCCAGCCACCGUGCCCAGUAGCCUGUCUGGCCCAGGGUCCUCUGUGUCCUUGUAUUGAUGUGUCCAUCCAGACAGAUCUUAUCCAUCUUACAGGAGUGGUAGGUAGUGGUUAGCCUCUCUAGGGAGGAGUGCAGAGCCUAGCUCCUCAGUUUUUUGAUUUCUCUCAAGAGAAGUCAUGUGACCUCCCAAUGCAUCCUCCACCACGAUGAGGGGACACGGGUGCCACCCCUUUCUUUGUCCUAACAGUAGAGCAACUGUGCCCGUGAGAAACUCACAGCCCUGCCAACUGCUUCCUGCUCCCCCCCCCAGGCAGUGAAUAUUUUCUUGUGCCUUCUCUUUAUUGGGGUAGGAAGUGCAGACUUCAAGACAGGGUUUCUCUGUGUAGCCCUGGCUGUCGUGGAACUAGGUCUGUAGCCCAGGCUGGCCUUGACCUCAGAUAUCCACCUGCCUCUACCUUCUGAGUACUGGGAUCACAAGCAUGUUCUAGCAUCACCUAGUAUCAUUUACCAAUAAUUUCAUAAUCUUUGGCCUCCUGUUGUAUUUCUCAGCAUGUAUACAUGUGUGUUGCCUGCCAUGCGUGUGUCGUCUGCAUGUGGAGGCCAAAGUGAAUGCUAUGUGACUUCCUGGAUUGCCCAACAUUCUGUUUACUGAGGCAGACUCUGUCUCCAGAGCCAGAGCCUUUGGAAUCUGCUGGCCUAGACAGCCAGCUUGCCCCAGGGAUCCAGUCUCUGCCCAGCAAGUGCUGGGAUUACAGGCAUCCAUCUUCCAGGACUCCGUGGAUUUUUAUGUGGGUGAUUGGAGAUCCUACUCAGGCCUUCAGACUUGCACAGGAAGGCGUUUCGCCACCGAGCCAUCUCCCCAGUCCCCUCCCUCAUAUAAUUUUGAUAUUUAAAAAAAUUCC
rnacentral:lncRNA from 1 species